CAGCAGUAGCCGCGGUAAUACGGAGGGUGCAAGCGUUAUCCGGAUUUAUUGGGUUUAAAGGGUCCGUAGGCGGACUUAUAAGUCAGUGGUGAAAGCCUGUCGCUUAACGAUAGAACUGCCAUUGAUACUGUAAGUCUUGAGUAUAUUUGAGGUAGCUGGAAUAAGUAGUGUAGCGGUGAAAUGCAUAGAUAUUACUUAGAACACCAAUUGCGAAGGCAGGUUACCAAGAUAUAACUGACGCUGAGGGACGAAAGCGUGGGUAGCGAACAGGAUUAGAUACCCCUGUAGUCCCUGUCUCUUAUAC
rnacentral:rRNA from 1 species